UAUGAAGGUUAAGAAAGUAUAAUGUGCACGUUAAAUAAAACAAGUAUAAAAGCUAGUACGGUGUGAGGAAUGGGCAAGUUUCAAGCAUCGCUCUGGCGACCUUGCGGCGGGACGGGACUCUCUGCCUGGCUGCAAGACCUGUUGGAGCUGGGGACUCCCUUGGCGUGCCCUGAGAAUUUCUGGAAGGGACUCCGCGCUUCACCGGCUUUCUGCAAGGGCAGACAAGAACCGACCACAGGAAAUUCAGGGUGAGGUUAUGAUGCUUGUAUCCCGAGUCGUGUGUUCUGUUGGUGCUGGAUAUUAUGUACUGUGCCUUCAAGACUGGUUCUGAAGAGCAAG